rnacentral:tRNA from 1 species
GAAGGUGGUUCAGUGGUAAAGUACUUGCCUUGCAUGCAUGAGGCCCUGGGUUCGAGUCCUCAGCACCCUCA